UACGAAGGGGGGCUAGCGUUGCUCGGAAUCACUGGGCGUAAAGGGUGCGUAGGCGGGUCUUUAAGUCAGGGGUGAAAUCCUGGAGCUCAACUCCAGAACUGCCUUUGAUACUGGCAAUCUCGAGUCCGGGAGAGGUGAGUGGAACUGCGAGUGUAGAGGGUGAAAUUCGUAGAUAUUCGCAAGAACACCAGUGGCGAAGGCGGCUCACUGGCCCGGUACUGACGCUGAGGUGCGAAAGCGUGGGGAGCAAACAGG
rnacentral:rRNA from 1 species